UGAGUGCGAGCUGCUACGGCAGCGAAGUUGGUGAUGUCAUGCUUCCAAGAAAAGCCCUAUACCCGUUAAGGCAUCAUGGCCUGUACCCGAAACCGACACAGGUGGGGUGGUAGAGAAUACCGAGGGGCGCGAGGUAACUCUCUCUAAGGAACUCGGCAAAAUGGCCCCGUAACUUCGGGAGAAGGGGUGCCACCGCAAGGUGGUCGCAGUGAAGAGGCCCAGGCAACUGUUUACCAAAAACACAGGUCUCCGCUAAGUCGCAAGACGAUGUAUGGGGGCUGACGCCUGCCCAGUGCCGGAAGGUUAAGGAAGCUGGUCAGCGCAAGCGAAGCUAGCGACUGAAGCCCCGGUGAACGGCGGCCGUAACUAUAACGGUCCUAAGGUAGCGAAAUUCCUUGUCGGGUAAGUUCCGACCCGCACGAAAGGCGUAACGAUCUGGGCGCUGUCUCGGAGAGAGGCCGAAAUAGAAUUGUCUGUGAAGAUGCGGACUACGUGCACCCGGACAGAAAGACCCUAUGAAGCUUUACUGUAGCUUGGUAUUGUGCCCGGGCUCGCAAUGCGCAGGAUAGGUGGGAGGCUUUGAUCAUCGGCUUGCGGGUCGAUGUGAGCCAACGGUGAGAUACCACUCUUUGCGAGCUAGGGUUCUAACGGCCACCCGUCAUCCGGGGGCCGGACAGUACCUGGUGGGCAGUUUGACUGGGGCGGUCGCCUCCUAAAAGGUAACGGAGGCGCGCAAAGGUUUGCUCAGGCUGGUUGGAAAUCAGCCGACGAGUGUAAAAGCAGAAGCAAGCUUGACUGUGAGACCAACAAGUCGAACAGGGAGGAAACUCGGCUUUAGUGAUCCGACGGUUCUGAGUGGAAGGGCCGUCGCUCAACGGAUAAAAGUUACUCUAAGGAUAACAGGCUGAUCUCCCCCAAGAGUUCACAUCGACGGGGAGGUUUGGCACCUCGAUGUCGGCUCAUCGCAACCUGGGGCUGAAGUCGGUCCCAAGGGUUGGGCUGUUCGCCCAUUAAAGCGGUACGCGAGCUGGGUUCAGAACGUCGUGAGACAGUUCGGUCCAUAUCCGGUGCACGCGCAGGAAUAUUGAGAGGAUUUCUCCCUAGUACGAGAGGACCGGGAGGAACGCACCUCUGGUGUACCAGUUAUCGUGCCAACGGUAAACGCUGGGUAGCCAUGUGCGGAGUGGAUAACCGCUGAAAGCAUCUAAGUGGGAAGCCCACCUCAAGAUGAGUAUUCCCAUGGCGUAAGCCAGUAAGGUCACGGGAAGAACACCCGUUGAUAGGCUCUAUGUGGAAGCGCAGUAAUGCGUGAAGCAGAGGAGUACUAAUAGACCGAGGGCUUGACC
rnacentral:rRNA from 1 species